UCUCCCGGUUCUGUUGGAGAUGAGUGAUGAAAAAGGGAAUCAGGUGCAAAUCCUGAACAGACCCGCUGCUGUAAGUCCUUCCAAAAUCUUUGAAUAUUCUCAAGCCACUGUCCGCCCGGCGGAUGGGAAGGCAUUCAAAGAGGGAUGAGUCAGAAGACCUGCCAAGACAACA
rnacentral:ncRNA from 1 species